UACGGAGGGUGCAAGCGUUAUCCGGAUUCACUGGGUUUAAAGGGUGCGUAGGCGGGUAGGUAAGUCAGUGGUGAAAUCUCGGAGCUUAACUCCGAAACUGCCAUUGAUACUAUCUAUCUUGAAUAUUGUGGAGGUUUGCGGAAUAUGUCAUGUAGCGGUGAAAUGCUUAGAUAUGACAUAGAACACCUAUUGCGAAGGCAGCAGGCUACACAUAUAUUGACGCUGAGGCACGAAAGCGUGGGGAUCAAACAGG
rnacentral:rRNA from 1 species